CGGCUAUUUCGCCUCGUACGGCCAAAUUGCUGUCGACUGGAAAUGACAUCACAGUGCGGAAGGGUUCACUUUGAGAAUGUCACAUGACCAAGCCCGACAGACAGGAUCAAAGCUAAUCUAUUUGACUGGGGCCUGCUGUCGCCACGACAACCAAGAUCACAGACAGGAAGCUUCACGGAUGCUUGUCAUCAACAAUGACACCACUCUGCAGCCGCGGACCCUCCGAGAACAAGCGCCCACCCCCCUCACACACACACACACCCGCCACCAUGUUAGUGUGCAUGUGGGCGGUGGGGGUAGUGGGGGGGGGGGUUAAUUCCACAAAGUACACCUUCUUCCGGUCUUUGCAUGUGUGUGCGUGUGUGUGUUCUGCUUGACAAGGCAUGUGUGUGUAUGUGGUCCAUCUGGAUGUCGCCAAGUUUUUUUUUUUUAAUAUGUUCAGUCAAACACAAGGGAAAAAGUUGUUUUAGUCAAACCUGAAUCAUCACUAUUCUUCAACUUUUUUCAAAAUGUAGUCAAAGUCUCCUGUAAUUAGUGUCUCCUCAAAGCGAAGCAUUUUUAUUGCUGUAGUAACUUGCCGAUGCUGGCGUGGUAGAGCGAUAUUUGGGAGGGAAAAAAAAAUCACAAUACAAUUUUUUGGGGGACAAAUUAGAUGUAAAGUGGUUGUCGAAAGAAAACCGUGAUGCACUAUCACAAUAUGCUUCUUGUUUAUCUCAGUCGUAACAGGACACAGCAAUUACAGGCUAGUUGAUAUAGAAGAAAAGCUUGUUAUACAGUAAUUUCUAUUCAGGGUGAUUGUAUCACGAUACAGUUCUAAUCGAUGGAUCUAAAAAUCAAAAGUGUCCUAAUGCAGCAUGUAAAUUGCUGUAGUGUAAGUAAACCCCAAUACAGUAUUAUCACAAUGUGGUUCAAGUGAUACCACUGGUAUCAUGAUACUGCAAUCAUUGGUGUAUUGAAAGAAAAUCACAACACAUUUGUUGUUGUUUUAUACAAUGGAAAACAGUAUAAAAGAAAGCUCUUACCUUGUCAUCUUGAUUUGUGCUGUAAUCGACCUGUUAUAAUCACAAUAAUUUUCCAAUGUUAAUCAUAGUACCAGCAUAAAAUAAUAACCAAUUAAAAGAAAAUAACAAUAUGAAAAUACAUUUCGAAUGAUACCGAUAGUAUCAUGAUACGACGAUAACUGAUAAAGAAAAAAA